CCUACGGGUGGCAGCAGUAGGGAAUAUUGCACAAUGGGGGAAACCCUGAAGCAGCGACGCCGCGUGGAGGAUGAAGGUCUUCGGCUCGUAAACCCCUUUCGUCAGAGAAGAUAAUGACGGUAUCUAACGAAUAAGCACCGGCUAACUCCGUGCCAGCAGCCGCGGUAAUACGGAGGGUGCAAGCGUUACUCGGAUUUACUGGGCGUAAAGAGCGCGUAGGCGGGGUAGCAAGUCAGAUGUGAAAUCCUAGGGCUGAACCAUAGGACUGCAUUUGAAACUGUUUUUCUAGAGUAUGGGAGAGGUAGGUGGAAUUCUUGGUAUAGGGGUAAAAUCCGUAGAGAUCAAGAGGAA
rnacentral:rRNA from 1 species